GAUGAACGCUGGCGGCGUGCCUAAUACAUGCAAGUCGAGCGAACGGACGAGAAGCUUGCUUCUCUGAUGUUAGCGGCGGACGGGUGAGUAACACGUGGAUAACCUACCUAUAAGACUGGGAUAACUUCGGGAAACCGGAGCUAAUACCGGAUAAUAUUUUGAACCGCAUGGUUCAAAAGUGAAAGACGGUCUUGCUGUCACUUAUAGAUGGAUCCGCGCUGCAUUAGCUAGUUGGUAAGGUAACGGCUUACCAAGGCAACGAUGCAUAGCCGACCUGAGAGGGUGAUCGGCCACACUGGAACUGAGACACGGUCCAGACUCCUACGGGAGGCAGCAGUAGGGAAUCUUCCGCAAUGGGCGAAAGCCUGACGGAGCAACGCCGCGUGAGUGAUGAAGGUCUUCGGAUCGUAAAACUCUGUUAUUAGGGAAGAACAUAUGUGUAAGUAACUGUGCACAUCUUGACGGUACCUAAUCAGAAAGCCGCGGCUAACUACGUGCCAGCAGCCGCGGUAAUACGUAGGUGGCAAGCGUUAUCCGGAGUUAUUGGGCGUAAAGCGCGCGUAGGCGGUUUUUUAAGUCUGAUGUGAAGCCCACGGCUCAACCGUGGAGGGUCAUUGGAAACUGGAAAACUUGAGUGCAGAAGAGGAAAGUGGAAUUCCAUGUGUAGCGGUGAAAUGCGCAGAGAUAUGGAGGAACACCAGUGGCGAAGGCGACUUUCUGGUCUGUAACUGACGCUGAUGUGCGAAAGCGUGGGGAUCAAACAGGAUUAGAUACCCUGGUAGUCCACGCCGUAAACGAUGAGUGCUAAGUGUUAGGGGGUUUCCGCCCCUUAGUGCUGCAGCUAACGCAUUAAGCACUCCGCCUGGGGAGUACGACCGCAAGGUUGAAACUCAAAGGAAUUGACGGGGACCCGCACAAGCGGUGGAGCAUGUGGUUUAAUUCGAAGCAACGCGAAGAACCUUACCAAAUCUUGACAUCCUUUGACAACUCUAGAGAUAGAGCCUUCCCCUUCGGGGGACAAAGUGACAGGUGGUGCAUGGUUGUCGUCAGCUCGUGUCGUGAGAUGUUGGGUUAAGUCCCGCAACGAGCGCAACCCUUAAGCUUAGUUGCCAUCAUUAAGUUGGGCACUCUAAGUUGACUGCCGGUGACAAACCGGAGGAAGGUGGGGAUGACGUCAAAUCAUCAUGCCCCUUAUGAUUUGGGCUACACACGUGCUACAAUGGACAAUACAAAGGGCAGCGAAACCGCGAGGUCAAGCAAAUCCCAUAAAGUUGUUCUCAGUUCGGAUUGUAGUCUGCAACUCGACUACAUGAAGCUGGAAUCGCUAGUAAUCGUAGAUCAGCAUGCUACGGUGAAUACGUUCCCGGGUCU
rnacentral:rRNA from 1 species